rnacentral:rRNA from 1 species
CAAGACCUGCGCUUUUGGAGCGGCCGAUGCCUGAUUAGCUUGUUGGUAAGGUAAAAGCUUACCAAGGCUUCGAUCAGUAGCUGGUCUGAGAGGACGACCAGCCACACUGGGACUGAGACACGGCCCAGACUCCUACGGGAGGCAGCAGUGGGGAAUUUUGGACAAUGGGGGCAACCCUGAUCCAGCCACGCCGCGUGAGUGAAGAAGGCCUUCGGGUUGUAAAGCUCUUUCAGCCGGGAAGAAAAGGUUGCGACUAAUAAUCGCAAUCCAUGGCGGUACCGAAAGAAGAAGCACCGGCUAACUACGUGCCAGCAGCCGCGGUAAUACGUAGGGUGCGAGCGUUAAUCGGAAUUACUGGGCGUAAAGGGUGCGCAGGCGGUUUUGUAAGUCAGAUGUGAAAUCCCCGGGCUUAACCUGGGAACU